CUGGGAAACAGGCCGCUAUGGUUGGAGCAUCUGAGGGUACUGAACUCUGCAAGUCCACUGCCUUGUCACAGUGGGGUACUCAUGCCUACCCAUCUCCCAGGGUGAUCAUCCUCAGCCAAAGAAAAUGAUAGGAGUUGCGGGUUGCCAUGACUCAAGUUUGGAGAAUGAAGUCUACUUUCUUAUUUUCAAAAUGUCUUUUCGAGAGGAGAGUUGAGAAGCCUCCCCAAUAUUCAACUUUUCUAGAGCAUUAAAGCUUUGCCAAUUUCCUUUCCUGAUUGAUCUUCACGAACCUCAGGAAUCAAAGAUGCAUCAAAAUCCAGGAAUACGCAGCAACCAAAUCACAGGAUAUACGCAUGUGUACACAUGCAUGUACAUAUGGCUAUUCAGCUUAAGUGAUAUUUCUUCAAUGAGGCCCUUCUUGACCACCCCUCCAAAUACAGGUCUCCCUAUUCUAUGGUCAUUCACACCAUCUUCCUUUCAUUUUUACCACUCUUCAAAUAUCCACUGGACUAUGACCAACGGACCUGAGUCUCUAACCUUGAUGUCAGGAACUGUCCUACAUUUUACUCUCCAUUGUACCCUAACAUUCUUAGCCCAGCAUCUGGUACUAAAGAAGCAACCCAAUGUAUGCCAACCCAUGCUACUCUCCCUUCCUACCUCCUGUUUCGUGUACCUGCUCCCACAGCGUGCUUCCAGUCACUACAGUCCUGGCUUCCCUUCCCUGGAUUCAGGCUUCAAUGUCAACCUACAAGUACCUGUGAGAACUCUUCCUUGAACUCUUGAUAGAAUAUGAA